AACAAGGUAACCUUUAGAGUUUGGAAUCCUGGCUCAGAUUGAACGCUGGCGGCAGGCCUAACACAUGCAAGUCGAGCGGUAGCACAGAGAGCUUGCUCUCGGGUGACGAGCGGCGGACGGGUGAGUAAUGUCUGGGAAACUGCCUGAUGGAGGGGGAUAACUACUGGAAACGGUAGCUAAUACCGCAUAAUGUCGCAAGACCAAAGUGGGGGACCUUCGGGCCUCAUGCCAUCAGAUGUGCCCAGAUGGGAUUAGCUAGUAGGUGGGGUAACGGCUCACCUAGGCGACGAUCCCUAGCUGGUCUGAGAGGAUGACCAGCCACACUGGAACUGAGACACGGUCCAGACUCCUACGGGAGGCAGCAGUGGGGAAUAUUGCACAAUGGGCGCAAGCCUGAUGCAGCCAUGCCGCGUGUAUGAAGAAGGCCUUCGGGUUGUAAAGUACUUUCAGCGGGGAGGAAGGCGAUAAGGUUAAUAACCUUGUCGAUUGACGUUACCCGCAGAAGAAGCACCGGCUAACUCCGUGCCAGCAGCCGCGGUAAUACGGAGGGUGCAAGCGUUAAUCGGAAUUACUGGGCGUAAAGCGCACGCAGGCGGUCUGUCAAGUCGGAUGUGAAAUCCCCGGGCUCAACCUGGGAACUGCAUUCGAAACUGGCAGGCUAGAGUCUUGUAGAGGGGGGUAGAAUUCCAGGUGUAGCGGUGAAAUGCGUAGAGAUCUGGAGGAAUACCGGUGGCGAAGGCGGCCCCCUGGACAAAGACUGACGCUCAGGUGCGAAAGCGUGGGGAGCAAACAGGAUUAGAUACCCUGGUAGUCCACGCCGUAAACGAUGUCGAUUUGGAGGUUGUGCCCUUGAGGCGUGGCUUCCGGAGCUAACGCGUUAAAUCGACCGCCUGGGAGCGCCAAAA
rnacentral:rRNA from 1 species